UGGGGAAUUUUGGACAAUGGGCGAAAGCCUGAUCCAGCAAUGCCGCGUGUGUGAAGAAGGCCUUCGGGUUGUAAAGCACUUUUGUCCGGAAAGAAAUCCUUGGCUCUAAUACAGUCGGGGGAUGACGGUACCGGAAGAAUAAGCACCGGCUAACUACGUGCCAGCAGCCGCGGUAAUACGUAGGGUGCAAGCGUUAAUCGGAAUUACUGGGCGUAAAGCGUGCGCAGGCGGUUUGCUAAGACCGAUGUGAAAUCCCCGGGCUCAACCUGGGAACUGCAUUGGUGACUGGCAGGCUAGAGUAUGGCAGAGGGGGGUAGAAUUCCACGUGUAGCAGUGAAAUGCGUAGAGAUGUGGAGGAAUACCGAUGGCGAAGGCAGCCCCCUGGGCCAAUACUGACGCUCAUGCACGAAAAGCGUGGGGGAGCAAAACAGGAUUAGAUACCCUGGUAGUCCACGCCCUAAAACGAUGUCAACUAGUUGUUGGGGAUUCAUUUCCUUAGUAACGUAGCUAACGCGUGAAGUUGACCGCCUGGGGAGUACGGUCGCAAGAUUAAAACUCAAAUGAAUUGACGGGGUC
rnacentral:rRNA from 1 species